CCCGAGUGGGAGGAGAGGGCCGAGUUGAGGGUCGUGGGGUCCUAGCGCCAAACUGAUGAUGGGGCGGAGAAGGUGGGCGGGACUAAGUCGCGUUAGCCCGUGACGUGCGGUGUAGUUGGGGAAACGUACCGCGGUUCCCCGUCGGGUCAGGAGCUCCCAAGCCCCAGGCUGGCGUGGGCGAAGCGUACAAUCCCUUCACCUUUCGUCUCCCAGAGGCACAAGAAUCCAGUUCGCGCCAACUGACCUGUUUCUUCCUUCCUCCCCGGCACUCUGGGAGUCCUGAGAUUGCCUUGCUCGGUUCGUCUCAGACUUGCUAGGUCUGAGCAGCUGCUGCUCCUCCACCAAGGGUGCUCAGAUUCUCCAGGAAACUCCCUUAAGGGUUAGCAACCGCCGAGUAGGUUUCGGUCCAAGAUAGAAAGGUAAAGCGGGGAAUUCAGGGGGUUUCUCCGAAAAGUACGUUGGUGAAACAGCUAUUGUUGACUGACGGGGUGUCGAUUACUUUGGAUUAAUUGGGUACGGCCUACUUAAACCUGACUGUGGCUCUCCACCAUUGAUGGCUGUUGACAGGCUACAAGUGCAAAAAGCUGAAUGAAAAAUGGAAAGGUUACUGCUGAAAUAUUUACAGAUGGAAGGAUAUGAUGUCUAGAAUUUGUUUCAAACAAGACGAGGUCUUACUACCAUAGCCCAGGCUGGGCUCAACUGAUCCUCCUGCCUCAGCCUCCCAAAGUGCUGGGAUUACAGGUGUGAGCCACCACGCCCGCCAUCAAGCAUUUACUUAUUGAAACACA